AUUGAACGCUGGCGGCAUGCCUUACACAUGCAAGUCGAACGGUAACAGGUCUUCGGAUGCCGACGAGUGGCGAACGGGUGAGUAAUACAUCGGAACGUGCCUAGUAGUGGGGGAUAACUACUCGAAAGAGUGGCUAAUACCGCAUGAGAUCUACGGAUGAAAGCAGGGGAUCGCAAGACCUUGUGCUACUAGAGCGGCCGAUGGCAGAUUAGGUAGUUGGUGGGAUAAAAGCUUACCAAGCCGACGAUCUGUAGCUGGUCUGAGAGGACGAUCAGCCACACUGGGACUGAGACACGGCCCAGACUCCUACGGGAGGCAGCAGUGGGGAAUUUUGGACAAUGGGCGCAAGCCUGAUCCAGCAAUGCCGCGUGCAGGAUGAAGGCCUUCGGGUUGUAAACUGCUUUUGUACGGAACGAAAAGCCCUGGGUUAAUACCCUGGGGUCAUGACGGUACCGUAAGAAUAAGCACCGGCUAACUACGUG
rnacentral:rRNA from 1 species